rfam:Bacillus sp. B-jedd genome assembly, contig: CONTIG000001
AUAUUCCUUCGGGGCAGGGUGAAAUUCCCUACCGGCGGUGAUGGGGCAAGAUGCUUCCAAGCCCGUGACCCGGGUGCUUUACGGCAUUCGGUGGAUCCGGUGAGAUUCCGGGGCCGACAGUAUAGUCUGGAUGGGAGAAGGAAAAG